rnacentral:rRNA from 1 species
GACGAACGCUGGCGGCAUGCCUAACACAUGCAAGUCGAACGAAACCGUCGGGCCUAGUGGCGCACGGGUGCGUAACGCGGGGGAACCUGCCCUUAGGUUCGGAAUAACUCCCCGAAAGGGGUGCUAAUACCGGAUAAUGUCUUCGGACCAAGGAGGUAUCGCCUUUGAUGGGCGCGCGUUGGAUUAGCUAGUUGGUAGGGGAAAAGCCUACCAAGGCGCCGAUGCAUAGCUGGGCUGGGAGGAGGAUCAGCCACAAUGGGACUGAGGCACGGACCGGAAUGCUACGGGAGGGAGCAGUGGGGAAUAUUGGACGAGGGGGGAAGGCCUGAUCAAGCCAUGCGGCGUGAGAGAUGAAGGCGUUAGGGUUGUAAAGCUGUUUGAGCCGGGAUGAUAAUGACAGUACCGGGAGAAUAAGCUCCGGCUAACUCCGUG